rnacentral:rRNA from 1 species
UGAGGAAUCUUGCGCAAUGGGGGAAACCCUGACGCAGCCACGCCGCGUGGGUGAAGAAGGCCUUCGGGUUGUAAAGCCCUGUCAGGUGGGAAGAACCGCAGUCUGGCCAAUACCUGGACUGCUUGACGGUACCACCAAAGGAAGCACCGGCUAACUCCGUGCCAGCAGCCGCGGUAAUACGGAGGGUGCAAGCGUUGUUCGGAAUUACUGGGCGUAAAGCGCGUGUAGGCGGACCGGUAAGUUGGGAGUGAAAGCCCUGGGCUCAACCCAGGAAGUGCUUCCAAUACUGCCGGCCUUGAGUUCCGGAGAGGGUGGUGGAAUUCCCCGGUGUAGAGGUGAAAAUUCGUAGAUAUCGGGAGGAACACCAGUGGCGAAGGCGACCACCUGGACGAGAACUGACGCUGAGACGCGAAAGCGUGGGGAGCAAACAGGAUUAGAUACCCUGGUAGUCCACGCCGUAAACGGUGUUCACUAGGUGUAGCGGGUAUUGACCCCCGCUGUGCCGCAGCUAACGAUUAAGUGAAACCGCCUGGGGAGUACGGCCGCAAGGUUAAAAACUCAAAGGAACUUGACGGGGUCAUAGCUGUUUCCU